GAAAUGCGAUAAGUAAUGUGAAUUGCAGAAUUCCGUGAAUCAUCGAAUCUUUGAACGCACAUUGCGCCCUCUGGCAUUCCGGGGGGCAUGCCUGUCCGAGCGUCAUUACGCACCCUCAAGCCCGGCUUGUGUGAUGGGCCCCGGCGUCUCGUUCGCGAGACGGGCCCGAAAGGCAGCGGCGGCGUCGACCCAAUGAGCCCGAGCGUAUGGGGACUUCUGUCACACGUUCGCGGUGCGGACCGGCGCCUGCUUGACUUUUCUGAUUAUCCAGGUUGACCUCGGAUCAGGUAGGGAUACCCGCUGAACUUAAGC
rnacentral:misc_RNA from 1 species